AGGACGAACGCUGGCGGCGUGCUUAACACAUGCAAGUCGAGCGGAAAGGCCCUUCGGGGUACUCGAGCGGGCGAACGGGUGAGGUAACACGUGAGUAACCUGCCCUAGCUCUGGGAUAGCUCCGGGAAACCGGGAUUAAUACCAGAUACGACCACUUUAGACAUCUGUCGUGGUGGAAAGGAUUCCGGCUAGGGAUGGGCUCGCGGCCUAUCAGCUUGUUGGUGGGGUAACGGCCUACCAAGGCGACGACGGGUA
rnacentral:rRNA from 1 species